CCUACGGGAGGCAGCAGUGAGGAAUAUUGGUCAAUGGGCGGAAGCCUGAACCAGCCAAGUAGCGUGCGGGAUGAAGGCCCUACGGGUCGUAAACCGCUUUUGCACGGGGAUAACACCCUCCACUUGUGGAGGUCUGCAGGUACCGUGCGAAUAAGGGCCGGCUAAUUCCUUGCCAGCAGCCGCGGUAAUACGGAAGGCCCGAGCGUUAUCCGGAUUCAUUGGGCUUAAAGGGAGCGUAGGCGGGCGUUCAAGUCAGCUGUAAAAGCGCGCGGCUCAACCGCGCGCCGCAGUUGAAACUGGACGCCUUGAGUUCACAACAGGCAGGCGGAAUUCGUGGUGUAGCGGUGAAAUGCAUAGAUAUCACGAGGAACCCCGAUUGCGAAGGCAGCCUGCCGGGGUGCGACUGACGCUGAGGCUCGAAGGUGCGGGUAUCAAACAGGAUUAGAUACCCCAGUAGUC
rnacentral:rRNA from 1 species